CCGGGGGGGGGGAGGUUGGGGCGCAAGCGGGGGUGAGGAGCCGGAGCCUGGCGGGGAGCCAGGGGGCACUGGCCUCCGAGUCCGUGGCCAAGCGGGCCUCUGCGGGUGAUGAUGGAGCAGAGAUCGGUGCCUCUGCGCUCGGACCGGAGACGAGGUCACGUCUCCGGCGGGGGUGGACGUGUCUGCCAGCCACCGAAGGCCGGGCGGUAGGUAGGACAUGUUCAGAGGGACAUGAUAUGGUCCGGCGUGACGGUGAGGACAGACAGGAUGCCGUCCGGCCUCCCUGAACAUCCUUGGCUGGCCCCGUGGGGAGCUGGGCACCAGCAUCUCUGUUCCUUUGCUUUCCUGAAGGAGCCAAUACACUAUGCUGCUCUCUAGACCCCAGAACCCUCAAGACGACAAGAAAUGGUGCUACCCAGCUCAUGCCUGGGCCUUGGAACCCGGACUUCUUCAAGUCCUUCUAGCUCUGAUCCAAGAAUAUGCUGCAUUCUGGAACCACUACACCACUUGACUCAGAAACCAGCUCUGGAAGGUUAAGCCAAAGGAACAGACGACCCACACCACCGGACGAACCAGCGGCACCCGCGGCCGCACCCACCCACCGCCCGGCAAUUCCAUCUUUGCGGCCACCCUGCCACGUCCAGGAGACCAUCACCACCCUCCCUUCCUCCUCUUCAUCCUUUUCUCUGACUUUUUUCUACUCUUCUCUCCUCUAUCCUUUGCUCAGAGGACCCAGAGCGUCCAGGACUCCGCUUCCCCGUCCCUCCUGAAUUAAUUUGCACUAAGUCGUUUGCACUGGUUUGGAGUUCUGGAACCAGCCUUGGGUCUCUGAGCGAGUGUCUGAGCAAACUGCUGAGUGGCCCGGCCUCCUUGGCCUGCGUGCCCCGCCCAGCGCCCACCUGUCCUUCAUCUCUGUCUGGGGGUGACUGGGUUGGGGCCCGAGUGUGUGAGGCCCCGCCCUCCCCUCGCCUAGUCUGGAGGCUCCAGACACCGAGCCAGCCCUGAAGCAUUCCGUCAUGCGGCCCUCUCGCCACGUGCCCCUCCCCACCAGGACUUCCCCAGAAGGCCUGGACUCAUCAAUAAACUCAGUCACAGGAA